rnacentral:lncRNA from 1 species
GGGUUAGUUUAUCACAUUUUUAAUGAGAUAGGUCCAUUUUUAAUCUUUUGGCCCAAUUUUUAAGCCCAACAAGACCUAACCCAUUACCCCUUCUUUUUUAAACCCUUACACCCCACCCCUAGGGUCUGCUUCUAGAACCUUAGACUAGAACACAAAAAAAAACUAACUGAACUUUAAGAACCCCAGGGGCGCCCAUCUUCUUCUUGGAGAGGCUAGCUGAACCAUAGUAAGAGAGACCCAAAAANNNNNNNNNNNNNNNNNNNNNNNNNGCCUGAACACGACCAAACUCACCGGAAAAGAGAUCAGCGCCCAUAUCCUUCUCUCAUCAAGCAAACGACCACCCAUCGCCGCCUCUCCGUCAACCAGCCUCCCGCGCAGCAGUAAGUCCGGCGACAAACCAACAGCUUUCCACCUCUGGCCCUUCCAAAAACCAACGAAGAACAACCAGGUCAACAUCGACCAGCUAACCCGCCAGCGACCCUGCCACCGCCGUUCCUCCGUUAUGAACCAGCAGUAGCCUCCGCUGUCAACCAGCAGCAUCUGCAAGCUGCGAAAGAAAAACGAAAAAACUUAAGAGGGUUUGCUGUUAGUGUUCAUUCUUGAAUUCAUAGAAGAACAAGUUUCGUCAUGAUCUAGAAAGAAGAUAAUGUAUAUCAUCCUUUUAAGAAUUACAAAUAGCUUGAGUCUCCUAACAUCUGAUAACAAAGUGAGAACGAGAGGAUGAGUUUGGACUAGAGUGUCCCAGUUAUCCCUAGCCUCACGAAGGCAUUCUCAGUUUCGAGCUUGGGGGCAUCUGUACGAGGUUUUCGGUCCAGGUUCGUAGGCUUGAAGCAACCACUGAUGUGCACUUGAUUUGGAGUUUUACUGUUCAAUAUAAAAGAGGGAGUCAUCUAAGGUUCAAUCUUUCUCUUUCCUUUGUUUUUUUGGGUUUAUCUCCGUGAGUUGUUUGCGUUUGUUUACUGUUCAUGCUUCAAUGGUUGUUUUGUGAACUACUUGCAAAUUUCGGCUUCAGAUUCCUUUGAGUUUUGUUUUGUUUGGAACUUUAAUUAUCAUCUAUUUUGUAUUAAAGCUUAAGUUGAAUGGAGACAUUAAGUGGGGUUGGGGAUAAUUGUGAUUAAGUGGUAUUGAUUUGUACGUCAUUUAGUAAAUAAAUUAAAUAAUAGACUAUAAGCUUGUAAAUAAAAUCUAAUAUUUAGGCAUGUGUUGAUUUUUAUUAAUUUCGUUUAUUUACUUGCCAAAAAUCAGUAGUAUACAUAGGUUCGCUAACACGGGUAGGCAAACCUUAGGAUUUUGUUAGUUUCGAGGCGAGAGGUCGUUCCCUUAGUUAAAUUUACCCGGGGAAUAUCCCAAGAGAUUUGUAUAUAUUUUAUUCCGAGGAAUGCCCCGUAGAACUUUGUAAUGAGAAGUCAAAAGUAGAACUUGUAGUGUUUUAUUCUCGUUUUCUAUUUUCUUUUAUUAGGCGGGGACGACCUCGAGCCUCAUGUGUGUUUAUUUUAUUUUUUCGUGAUUUUACCUCAACUUGAAUAUUUUAGAAGCCAACUUGAUCGAGUUCGCAACCGUACUAGUUACGGGACUCGGGGAAUGCCUAACACCUUCUCCCCGAGUCAAAUGAACACCUUACCCGAUUCUCUAGUGCGGACUUAGUUUUAGAGUCUCAAAUGUUUUAAAAGGAAAAGUCAUUUUAAAAGAAAAACGGUGACCUGGCACACCAAAAUCAAAGUCAGGUGGCGACUCUGAGUUAUUUUCCUUUUGAAUACAAUAUUUGUCACUUUCAAAAUUGAAAACCUUUUUCAAGAUUUUCACUAAAUCUUUUUAUUCUUUUUAAGAGGGUUUGGUGAGUUUGAUAAAAAGGGGGUGUGACAUACCGCACCUGCGAGACCGCAGAUGCAGAUUCUAGGUCGCAGGUGCGGCGGAGAGGUUUUAAGUGAGAACCGCAGAAGUGGUAUAGCAGAUACGAUGGGUGGACCGCAGAUGCGGGAUUGCUGGACAGAACAUAUAAAUAGUUGUCUUUGUAAAUUUGAGCUAUUCUUUCACCAUUUUCAUCCGGGAAGUGAGCUUUUGGGGAGAUUUUUGAGAGGAAAUUCAAGGGAACUUCGAGGAGGUAAGAUUAUUGGAACCUAAACUCGUUAUUGAGGUGAUUUUUAUCAUUAUAAACAUGAAACUUUAAGGAAAAUCAGCGGUAAUUUGGGGGUUAGGGCUUGACUAAUUAGAGACCUUUAAGGGACCAUAUGAGGUCCAAUUUUGGUACUUUUGGUAUUACUGAACUCGUGAUAGUGUGAGGAUUCUGGAAAUGUAAAUUUUACUUGAUUCCAAGAUGUGGGCCCGAGGGGCGUUUUGGUCAUUUUACCUAAUUUCGCGUAUUAGCUUAGAAUUUCUUUGUAGAAUCAGUUACUUGAAAUGUUAUUUAUAUUAUGAAAUUGAAUUGAAUAGAUUUGGUCCACUUGGAGUCGAGUACUCGUGGCAAGAGCAUGGUUUCAGAUUGAUUUGAGCUGGUUCGAGGUAAGUGGCUUACCUAACCUUGUGUGGGGGACCUUCCCCUUAGGAUUUGGUAUUAUUGAUAAUUGAAAUGCCUUGUACGGGAGGUGAUGAGUGCGUACUUGUGCUAAUUAUUGGAAAUCUGGUUUUCAUUAAGUAAUUACUAGUAUGUUUCCUUUCAUGUUUUUAUUACGUGCACUAUUUAGUCUGUUGUUAGCUUAGGAAAGCAUGCCUAAGUGAUUUAAUUGCUUUAUUUGCUCAAACUGCUUUACCUGAAUUAUGUACAACAUGCUAGGCUAGAAUUACUUGUUUUCCCUAGUAUGAAAAUUUGACAUUUCUGAAUAUUUUCCUGUUGCUACUGUGUAUUUACAUUGGGACUACGAAUGUGGGAUUCCGGUAGCUUCCCCUUGUCUGUUUACAUUUGGGACUACGGAUGUGGGAUUCCGGUAGAUCCCCCUACACAGUUAUAUGGAACUACGGGACUGUACCCGGCAGAUUCCCCCAGUACUGGAUAUUUACAUUUGGGACUACGGAACGGGAUUCCGCUAGAUCCUCGCGUACUAUGAGCUGGACUACUGGACGGUAUCCUGAGAGAUCUCCGAUUGUUAUUUUUGGUGCUGAGUCGUACUUCUUUCUGUGUUUACUUUGCCUCUAUAAUAGUUGUUGUUGUCCUUUAUAUCCUGUAUUACUUUUACUGCGGUACUUAUUUAUACUGUUCUAUUCUACACUGUCGAACUUUAUAUUUUAUUUAACCUCAGUAGGGCCCUGACCUUCCUUGUCACUACCCGACCGAGGUUAGGCUCUGCACUUACUGAGCACCGCUGUGGUGUACUCAUGCCCUUUCUGCGCAUGUUUUUCAUGUGCAGAUCUAGGUACUUUGACUCAGUCCUAUCACCCUUGAGGCGUGGCGACUGAUCUAGAGACUUCGAGGUAUAUAUGCUGCGUCCGAAGACCGAGGAGUCCCUUUCCGUUCUUUCUUGUAGUGAUAGCCCUUCUAUUUUCUUCUAUUGAGGGAGACAUUCCGGAGUUAGAGCAUUUUUAUUAUAUACAUAGCUUGUGAUUCAUCGAUUUCCGGGUUUUGAAAAAAUGUAUUGGUUUUAAGAGUUAAUAUUGUGUAUGCUGAGCGGCACUUUUAAACGUUGUUUUAUUACUCUAUUUCUGUUUUAAAUAGUUUUCUUCCGCAAAUUUGGUUUAUUUUUUGCAUUUUAGGCUUACCUAGUCGUAGAGACUAGGUGCAGUCAUGAGGGUUCACGGAGGGCGAACUGGGGUCGUGACAAAGACUUAUGGGAGAAUAAGAAUAUACACAUCUCUAGCAUUUCUAUGAAUAGAGUAAUCUAUAGAAGUUGUGCAUUUGC